rnacentral:rRNA from 1 species
AACGUAGGAGACAAACGUUAUCCGGAGUUACUGGGCGUAAAGGGCGUGUAGGUGGUUUCGUAAGUCUGGCGUGAAAUAUCUCGGCUUAACCGAGGCAGGUCGUCGGAUACUGCGGAACUAGAGGACGGUAGAGGCGUGUGGAAUUCCGGGUGUAGUGGUGAAAUGCGUAGAGAUCCGGAGGAACACCAGUGGCGAAGGCGAGUCCCUGGAAAACUCCUGACACUGAGGCACGAAAGCUAGGGGAGCAAACAGG